GACGAACGCUGGCGGCGUGCCUAAUACAUGCAAGUAGAACGCAGUUGCGAACGGGUGAGUAACGCGUAGGUAACUGCCUCAUAGCGGGGGAUAACUAUUGGAAACGAUAGCUAAUACCGCAUACUGUGAGAUGGACCUGCGUUGUAUUAGCUAGUUGGUGAGGUAAAGGCUCACCAAGGCGACGAUACAUAGCCGACCUGAGAGGGAGAGCGGCCACAAUGGGACUGGGACAAGGGCCAGACUCCUACGGGAGGCAGCAGUAGGGGAUCUUCGGAAAAGGGGGGAAGUCUGACCGAGCAACGGCGCGUGAGUGAAGAAGGUUUUCGGGUCGUAAAGCUCUGUUGUGAGAGAAGCGGUAACUGAACAGGAAGGAACGGCUAACUACGUGCCAGCAGCCGCGGUAAUUC
rnacentral:rRNA from 1 species